GAAGCUCGUGGUAUUUUGUAAUAUGUAAAUUAGAUGGUUGUCAUGCGAGUCUGGUAUAUAAAAGGAAAUGACCAGUCCGCAAGACCAGAGACAGAUAACUAGACAGUUACUGAUCAACGUACAGAUUCUAGCCGAGAAUAACAAACAUGAAAAUUAUCAUUUUCAUUGUGAUCGCUUUGAUCGGCGCAUAUGAAGCUAAAGGGUUUCAUAUGAAAAGGGGAGGAGGCGACAGGGAAAAGGAUAUCCAAGAUGCUAUAAAGAGUGUCCAGGAAGGGUUCGGCCAGGACAAGGAAGCAGAGAUCCGUGAGUGUAUGGGAAAAGAAGACAACUGUGAAUCUGUCGGAUGUUUCUAUUACAUUGUCUCUGGACUUACCGAUGAUGAAGAGUACCACCAAAUGGUUGUUGAAUGGGCCCUUGGACUACGUAAAAUGUGCUGGACCGAUAUCUGCGAAACAUGUGGUUGGUGUGAAGAUGAAGAUCGUCGAAGGUCUAACAAAAAAGAUGCCGUCAGCGACGCUGUUCAAGAUAUCCAGAAGAACUUUGGAGUUGAUAAAGAAGAAGAGGUCCGCGCUUGUCUGGACAAACCAAGUUGCGAAUCAGUUGCUUGCUUUUACAUGCUGGCCAAAGAGCUUACCGACAAAGAGGAUUAUCAUUUCAAGGUUGGCAGCUGGGCACUGAAAGUUAAUAAAUUGUGCAUGGAAGAUGUAUGUGAGAAAUGCGGAUGGUGCAAAGAGGAGCGCCGAAGAUCUUUCCCAUCAGUCAAAAAGUCUCCUGCAAAACAAAUUUCAAGCCUUAGUCUCUCCGCAAAGAAACGCUUCCUGUCACAUUUGGACUUUUAAACAUACAUUGACCAGACCAAUUAAAGGACAUUUCAUGAACUGAACAGCCACGUCGUUAAAUGUCUAAUUAAUUUCCUUUUCUUUCAGAAGUUAUAAGAACAUUUUUCGUAAAUUGUUAAAAUAAAAAUGUGUUAAUAAACAUAUAUGCAUAUA